UACGGGGGGGGCAAGCGUUGUUCGGAAUUACUGGGCGUAAAGCGCACGUAGGCGGCGAUUUAAGUCAGAGGUGAAAGCCCGGGGCUCAACCCCGGAACUGCCUUUGAGACUGGAUUGCUUGAAUCCUGGAGAGGUGAGUGGAAUUCCGAGUGUAGAGGUGAAAUUCGUAGAUAUUCGGAAGAACACCAGUGGCGAAGGCGGCUCACUGGACAGGUAUUGACGCUGAGGUGCGAAAGCGUGGGGAGCAAACAGG
rnacentral:rRNA from 1 species